rnacentral:rRNA from 1 species
CCUACGGGCGGCAGCAGUGGGGAAUAUUGCACAAUGGGGGAAACCCUGAUGCAGCGACGCCGCGUGAGUGAAGAAGUAUUUCGGUAUGUAAAGCUCUUUCAGCAGGGAAGAAAAUGACGGUGCCUGACUAAGAAGCCCCGGCUAACUACGUGCCAGCAGCCGCGGUAAUACGUAGGGGGCGAGCGUUAUCCGGAUUUACUGGGUGUAAAGGGAGCGUAGGCGGUUAUGCAAGUCUGAAGUGAAAGGCCAAGGCUCAACCAUGGGACUGCUUUGGAAACUGUUAAACUGGAGUGCAGGAGAGGUAAGCGGAAUUCGUGGUGUAGCGGUGAAAUGCGUAGAUAUUAGGAGGAACACCAGUGGCGAAGGCGGGUUACUGGACUGUAACUGACGCUGAGGCACGAAGGCGUGGGGAGCAAACAGGAUUAGAUACCCUGGUAGUC